rnacentral:rRNA from 1 species
CCUACGGGAGGCAGCAGUGAGGAAUAUUGGUCAAUGGACGCUAGUCUGAACCAGCCAAGUAGCGUGAAGGAUGACUGCCCUAUGGGUUGUAAACUUCUUUUAUAUGGGAAUAAAGUGCAGUAUGUAUACUGCUUUGCAUGUACCUUAUGAAUAAGGAUCGGCUAACUCCGUGCCAGCAGCCGCGGUAAUACGGAGGAUCCGAGCGUUAUCCGGAUUUAUUGGGUUUAAAGGGAGCGUAGGCGGGUUGUUAAGUCAGUUGUGAAAGUUUGCGGCUCAACCGUAAAAUUGCAGUUGAUACUGGCAGUCUUGAGUACAGUAGAGGUAGGCGGAAUUCGUGGUGUAGCGGUGAAAUGCUUAGAUAUCACGAAGAACUCCGAUUGCGAAGGCAGCCUGCUGGACUGUAACUGACGCUGAGGCUCGAAAGUGUGGGUAUCAAACAGGAUUAGAUACCCCUGUAGUC